GCGCCCGCUUCUCUGCCUCAUUCCUCGGACGACUUACUGAUUAACAACUUAAAACACUCAAAAAUACAGACGGCUCUUCAAAGAUGAAGGAUCACGAUGCUCAUCCUGACUUCUCGACAUCAGCAGAUGCUUGAUGGUGCUGUGAAAGCCCAGAGAUGUGACUGGUCUGUAGGGGACUGAGGAGGUGAGGAUGAGUGUUUGCAGAGGAAACUUGUGCUUCUCUAAGGUGUUCGCUGUGGAGAGACUACACUUGCUCUUAAAUCAAACUAUAAUGAUAAAAUUCCUAAAGCUGAAAUUGAAGGUGCCUUUUUAAUUGCUUGGGUGCGGGGCCAUAUUUACAAAUAUUUCAAACCUAAGUAUUAAUAACCCCAGUGUGCCUUUGCAUGGAUAAACUAAUAUUUGCAUGUAAAACUAAUGGGGAUAUUACUGCUUUCAUUUGACUGGCAAAGUGUGAUUUGUACACAAUGUACAACAAAUGAACAGGAAAUCUAUUUUAAAUGAAAAUGUUAAAUAUUUGGCCACAACACUGACUUGUAACGCUGUUCCUGGAGUCCUGAUCCACACGUUUAGUUUUCUCUCUGCUAACACCUCAGGGAAGCAUCAGUCUUUGCCAUAAAUUUGUGCUCCUGUGAUGACACUUAUUUGCUACUCUUGAGAAGAUGUGAUGAUACUCCAACCACCAAGUUGUAUUAUCUGAGGCACUACUUACUCCCAACCUGUGAGCUUAAAAGUUUAUAUCAUUUUAAUCACUUUAUUUUUACCCACAGGUGUCCUCAGGUCCGAGUCCUAUCGCUAACAGGUAAUGGAUGUAAAUUCUUGAUCAUGUGUUACCAUAAGAAACUGUUAAUGAUGACUUUUGUUUUUAAAACGAUGGGAAUCUCUCUGAAAAAGAGUGAAAGAGGACUUUUUUCUGAUGCAGUUAAAACUAUAUUACAUACAUGCAUGUUAAAAUUUGGACUCUUCAACGAUGCGUCUCUCGUGCUUUGCAGACGGUCCUGAUGUUGGAUCCAGAUGUGCAUUCUUGGAUCGGCUGCAGGUAGGUUUUUUCUUUGAGGAGCCGGCCUGUAAAAAUAAAACUGUUUCGAUGCAAUGAUGAGUGCAUAGUUCAGCAGAUUAAACUGUGAAGAAUUACUGUUGUCUUUCGCUCCUAGCUGAUGUGUCGGCCUCUGCAACCUUUGAGGGUCACUGGGUUUGAGUUCUUUCUAAACUUAUAUAUUUAAUUUUUUUUUUUUUCAGGAGUCCCACAAAAGGCAAAGUGGAGGUGAGUUGAAAUCCUGCUCUACGUUUCUUUUAAUGACGCUCGAUGCAGUGAUGAGUGCAUAGUUCAACAGAUUAAACUAUGAAGAAUAACUAUCGUCUUUCGCUCCUAGCUGAGCAUCAACUUAUGUAGUCCCACAAUCACUGAUGUGUUUAAAACAAAGUGAUAAUCUAGUUCUUUCUCUUCAGAUGUGAACACCUUGCUGUCUGACUCGUUGCUGCUCUGCUGGUAAGCAUUAAAUCUCAAACACUGCAGCGGGGAUGUCACAGUACCACAAACCUGAUGCUCUGCACCAAUAGAACUACACAUGUCAAUACAGUUGAUGGACAAAAUGACCAUUCACACACUGACAUGGUGGCAGAUAAUUUAUCUCAAAUAACACUUUUAACAAGGCACAGACUAAAUUGCAUAGUAUGGUAAUUACACAUUUAUAGACUUGUUAUACAAAAGGAUAAGCAUGACUAGAAUUACCACAGCAAACCAUUUAACCUAUGAAAUAACAGCCGUCUCAAUGGUAACAUCAUCAGGAUGAUGCCUUGAAUUAAAACUUGCUCAGCUUUAAGUCUUUGAAGUUUAAGUGCUUUGUUAACUUGUGGUGCUUGGACUGUAUGAAACUGCAUCAUUCUUUGAUCGCUUACUCCACCUAAAAAGUGUAAAGUACAUCAUUCAUAGCAAAAUACGAACUCUGCCAUAUGAGUUUAAGCGGAGCUAUUAUGGCGGCUGCAUAAAUGGUCCUUUUCCACAGGUAGUGUUUCCUGUGCUGUUGGAUUUCCUCUAAUAUGUAAGAAUGUAUCUAGAAAUAUGGCAGCUUAGUACAUACACUGCCUGCAGUACCAAAGAAAAGCACGUGAUCUCCGAUUAUUUAUUUAUUUUUUUAUUUUUUUUUUUUUGUAACAAAUGUUAGCGUUAGGUAUCAUUUCUGGUGACAUCCCUGCACAGCAGCUAACAGCUUUCAGAUGUGAUGAGUUUGAAUCAGGUCGCUGAUCCAGUUGAGGAUAAUUUGUAACUGACUCUGAUCUGGGUUUUUAAUGUUGGGGGGAAAAAAGUGAGCAUGGUUCUGUAAAUUUACCCGAAACUUAAUUUGUUUUUACAGAACGAGCGGGCUCGCGACUCAUCACCAUUCAGAAGAUGAUUAAACACUCAUGGUUGUUCUGUGUGAGGGAUGGAGACCCAGUGUGGACCACACCAGAGUGACUGAGAUGGGGGGGAAAAGUUCAAGUUCUUUACCUGGUGAGUGUUUUUGUCCAGUCCUGAAUCACAAUUAUUUAAGGUGGCCACAAGACUAGUGAUGAUCUGAUUUUGCCAGAUGACUUAAGCUGAUUAUAACCCUUACCGUUCCAUUUUUUUCUGAGGUCAUGUGGUCAUUAACUGCUAGUUAACUCUUCUGUUAGUAGUCUGUACUUGUAUUUUAAUGAUUUCUUCUCUACACAGGUGUGAAGCCUCAGACACUGAAGCACAAUCAAGCACAAGUCUGUCACUUCAUAAUAAAUCUAAAUGGUGCUGUUUCCUCAAAAGCUGGAAAGUGAUGUUGACAGAUUUUCACCUGCAGGAAUCGGUGUUCAGACCCUGCUCGUGCUAUUACGUCUGGAUUGUGACCUGAUCCUGUUGACUUCAAUUUGUAACAAUAAAAUAUUUGUUAUUGACUCA
ensembl:lncRNA